rnacentral:rRNA from 1 species
UACAGAGGUGGCAAGCGUUGUUCGGAAUUACUGGGCGUAAAGGGCGCGUAGGCGGCCAUCUAAGUCAGACGUGAAAUCCCCCGGCUUAACCUGGGAACUGCGUCUGAUACUGGACGGCUUGAGUAUGGGGAGAGGGAUGUAGAAUUCCAGGUGUAGCGGUGAAAUGCGUAGAUAUCUGGAGGAAUACCGGUGGCGAAGGCGGCAUCCUGGACCAUUACUGACGCUGAGGCGCGAAAGCUAGGGGAGCAAACGGG